UCAAUUAUUUAUAGCCUCUGGCUAUAGGAAAUUGUUAGUGGCAGACGGGUGAGUAAUGCGUAGGAAUCUACCUAGUAGUACGGAAUAGCCAUUAGAAAUGGUGGGUAAUACUGUAUAAUCCCCGAGGGGGAAAGAUUUAUCGCUAUUAGAUGAGCCUACGUUAGAUUAGCUAGUUGGUGAGGUAAUGGCUUACCAAGGCUAUGAUCUAUAGCUGGUCUGAGAGGACGAUCAGCCACACUGGAACUGAGGUACGGUCCAGACUCCUACGGGAGGCAGCAGUGGGGAAUAUUGGACAAUGGGCGAAAGCCUGAUCCAGCUAUGCCGCGUGAGUGAAGAAGGCCUUCGGGUUGUAAAACUCUUUCAAUAGGGAAGAUAAUGACGGUACCUAUAA
rnacentral:rRNA from 1 species